AUUAAAUGAAUUGACGGGGGCCCGCACAAGCGGUGGAGCAUGUGGUUUAAUUCGAUGCACGCGAAGAACCUUACCUACUCUUGACAUCCAGAGAACUUUCCAGAGAUGGAUUGGUGCCUUCGGGAACUCUGAGACAGGUGCUGCAUGGCUGUCGUCAGCUCGUGUUGUGAAAUGUUGGGUUAAGUCCCGCAACGAGCGCAACCCUUAUCCUUUGUUGCCAGCGGUCCGGCCGGAACUCAAAGGAGACUGCCAGUGAUAAACUGGAGGAAGGUGGGGAUGACGUCAAGUCAUCAUGGCCCUUACGAGUAGGGCUACACACGUGCUACAAUGGCGCAUACAAAGAGAAGCGACCUCGCGAGAGCAAGCGGACCUCAUAAAGUGCGUCGUAGUCCGGAUUGGAGUCUGCAACUCGACUCCAUGAAGUCGGAAUCGCUAGUAAUCGUGGAUCAGAAUGCCACGGUGAAUACGUUCCCGGGCCUGGGA
rnacentral:rRNA from 1 species